UUCUAUGAUUCUAUGAUUCUGAGAGUUGCAGAAGUCAUCAGAUUCUUCAACCACAAUUGCAAAGGCUUCUUACAUUGUGUCCUUCAGCCUUUUCAGUGUGAAAUCCUACCAAAGGGAAAUAAGUUACUAGUGCUACCAUACUAGAAAAAAAUACAGUGCCUGGUUUGACACCAACGAGUACUUUUCACCAUUGUUCUUGUCCUCCAUGCUCCAGCAGAGUGGGUCAAAUGUAGGUUUGCCUCGAGAUCAGCCUUUACAGCUCAGCCCCUGAAAAUAAUGAAGCAAGAAAAAACGCAAUUCCUGUGCCACAGCUCAGCAGCAGGCACUGGCUCUGUACUCAGAUCACAUAAAAUAUUGCUGAAUAUUGACCACAUGCUGCAUUGCAGCUAUUGAGGAUUUUCUCUUAGACGCUCCUGUACCUGCUCUGGCACCAGGAGCUCAGCAGGUGAAUAAUUAUCCCAAUCCCUGUGUGCACCCUCUCCUACUUUGACAUGCACACACACAUAUACUCAUGCUGCUGUUCUGGUUUGGUUUGGUGGGUUUUUUGGUAGCGGGGGAAGGGCCCCAGGAGCAGCUCCAGUAAGAAGCUGAGAAGCUCCCCCUGCUCCAAACCCAGCCAAGGAGCCAUUAGAGGGACAAUAGAUGCACCUCAGUGGUUAACAUACAAAAGAACUGAGAUAAGAGCUGAGCAGAAAAGGACUUGGGGGAGAAGAGCUGUUCUGGUGGAGCAGAGCAGUGCUGGUGGUUGGUGAGGAAGAAGGGGUAGAAGUUGCCCAAGCAGAAGUUUUCCCUGCAACCCAUGGUGAGAUGGCAGCUGUCCUCCUGCACUCAUGGAGGAACGUGGUGGAACAUUCCCUGAAGGCGCCGGGAGGGGUGAACUUGGCCACUGGACUUGGAUUUUGUGGCCAGUGGAUUUGCUGCCAGUGGACUCUGAUUGCACAGCUUUGGAAGACCCCGGUGCCAGGGGAGUUUGUUCCCGAAGCAGCCCCUGACUCUGUGGGAAGCCCAGGCUGGAGCAGCUCCGGACCUCGUGGGAAGGACUCGUGAAGGAGAGCUGUGGCUUCCCUGGGUGUUUGGAGAGAAGACAGGCACCUUCAUCUUCACUCUCAGAGCUCCUGGGCUCACCAGUUUGCCCCUGCUUGAUGUGACAAGGAUCUCAGCAACAAGCACUAUGCACGCCGAUCUGGGCUGUCUCAUCUGAGUGGUUAGUGGUACCACACCACUUGCCAGAAAAAUUAGCAACAGAAGGAUGAGGCAGUUUUUGGAUUAAACACUGGGAUAUCUUCCCUGAACCAUUCAGAAUGCCACGUGGAUGAUACAGGUGCUCACAGAGUUCUUCAGUGAGUCACAGUGAUCUCUCUGUUCAUGAGACCUUGAGCCAAAUUCAUCUCCAUAAUCCAGCUUGUUUGAUGACAAAAACAACUAUCGACAGCAAGCAACUGAGAUCAGGCAGAAAGAACGAGAUGUUUUGAGAGGACUGUA